GCUCGCCAGCGGCCGAAGCCGGAUACGGAGGCACCGAGACGGGACGCGGCCAUGGCGGACUGGGGCCGAGGUCAGAGUCCAAAUGCUGUGGACGAUAUGCUAGAUGUGGAGAAUAAGCGUAUGGCGGACAAUCUAGCCACCAAGGUCACCAGGCUGAAAUCGCUGGCACUGGAUAUUGACAAAGAUGCUGAGGAUCAAAACCGCUAUCUGGAUGGCACGGACUCAGAUUUCAUGAGUGUGACAGGCCUGCUGACGGGGAGUGUGAAGCGUUUCUCCACCAUGACACGCUCGGGAAGGGAUAAUCGCAAACUGCUUUGUUACGUUUCUGCUGGACUGGUGGUUGUCUUUUUCAUCCUCUAUUAUCUGGUCUCAAAAGCACGGACUUGAGUGGGGUCCUCAUGCUGGAAUUUUUAUGGAAAGAAAAACUUUGGUCAUGAUAAACAGAGACUUGCUCAAGGUUAUCCUCAAUCUACCCUUUCAAGAAUUGUUGGGAUAUUCCUGGAGGACCUCUCUGGACUCCAGGUUACUGUCACUUUUCUAAUCAGUCUUGGAGAGAUUCAUCAAUUAUUUUCAUAAAAUGAAUAUAGUUCAUUUUGAUCUUUUUAAAUUACAUCACCUGGUAGGUACGCUGCAUGUCACUGGGUGACUGUCUGGAAUACAUACCUGAGCAAGUAUUGUCUAUUGUUUGUGAAGCCAUCACUCCAGAGCUUGCAGCACUUUGAGAUACAGUAUGUACCCUGUUCUCUGAUGAUUCUACAUAAUUCUGUGCAUUAGAAUGCUGUGUGGAUGAAGGAUGUUUAUGAUCUUUCAGCACUACAUCUUUAUUCUGUACUGUAUGCUGGUUAAGAAUGCUCAUUCCAAAUCACCCUUCUCUCCCUUUCAUUGACCUUGUCGCUUCCCCUCUCAUUCCAACCCAAGUAUGUUCUCCCAUCUGAAUUAUUUAUAUCUGCCUCCAGUUAUAAUAAACCAUUCUAAAAAUACUGCUAUUGUUUAAAAAAAAUACCCAAAACUCUACACGUUAUUUUAAAAGGCUCUUAUGGUACAAAAUAACUCUACCAUAAUUGUUUUGUAGUGUGUAUUAUUUGUUCCAAGGGCUUCUCUGGAUUCUCCUGUAAGAAUGCCUUGCUUGAUGAUUGGCUAUCUCUUAUUCCUCUUGAUGUAGCCACCUCUCUAGGACCAAAGAACAUAUCCUCUAUACAGUUAUUCUCCCCAAACAAACUCAUAUUCCCUAAUCCCUGUAUAUAUCGUCUGACCCUGACAAAUGACACUGUGUGACAGUGAAGAAUUCCUCUCUUACAAGCCACAGAACAUUGAUCCUUCUGCAGAUUUAGAUCCAGUUUUCUUAAUCUGCUUCUUACCUUGAAUAUUGAUUUUCUAAUGUACUAGUUGAUGUACUGUAACUUGUGUCCUUAUCCUGUUCCAAAGGUAGAAUGUGCAAUAGGGAUGGAGAGAGAAGGAUGCAGUGAUGAUCCACUCUGGCUCUUGGCUCAGUUGACUCAGUCCUGUUUGAUUCUUUAGAGACUAACAAAUUUAUUAGAGCAUAAGCUUAGUCUCUAAGGUGCCACAAGUACUCCUGUUAUUUUUGCGGAUACAGACUAACACGGCUGCUACUCUGAAACCUGUUU